GCCAGCAGCUAGCUCUCUGCAACUCUCACAUGGUUGCCCACUGAAGCUAAGCAGGUCUGUGUCCUGUCAGUACCUGGAUGGGAGACCACAUGGGAAAGCUAGAUUGCUGCUGGAA
rnacentral:rRNA from 1 species